rnacentral:rRNA from 1 species
AUUGAACGCUGGCGGCAUGCCUUACACAUGCAAGUCGAACGGCAGCACGGGUGCUUGCACCUGGUGGCGAGUGGCGAACGGGUGAGUAAUACAUCGGGACGUACCUUAUCGUGGGGGAUAACGCAGCGAAAGUUGCGCUAAUACCGCAUACGCCCUGAGGGGGAAAGCGGGGGACCGUAAGGCCUCGCGCGAUUAGAGCGGCCGAUGUCUGAUUAGCUUGUUGGUGAGGUAAAAGCUCACCAAGGCGAUGAUCAGUAGCUGGUCUGAGAGGACGAUCAGCCACACUGGGACUGAGACACGGCCCAGACUCCUACGGGAGGCAGCAGUGGGGAAUAUUGGUCAAUGGGGGCAACCCUGAACCAGCCAUGCCGCGUGCAGGAAGACGGCUCUAUGAGUUGUAAACUGCUUUUGUACAGGGAUAAAUCGGGGAACGUGGUCCCCGUUGAAGGUACUGUACGAAUAAGGAUCGGCUAACUCCAUGCCAGCCGCCGCGGUAA